rnacentral:rRNA from 1 species
UACGAAGGGGCUAGCGUUGCUCGGAAUCACUGGGCGUAAAGGGUGCGUAGGCGGGUUUUUAAGUCAGAGGUGAAAUCCUGGAGCUCAACUCCAGAACUGCCUUUGAUACUGAAGAUCUUGAGUUCGGGAGAGGUGAGUGGAACUGCGAGUGUAGAGGUGAAAUUCGUAGAUAUUCGCAAGAACACCAGUGGCGAAGGCGGCUCACUGGCCCGAGUACUGACGCUGAGGAGCGAAAGCGUGGGAGCGAAGAG